AUUGAACGCUGGCGGUAUGCUUAACACAUGCAAGUCGAACGGUAGCAGGCCUUCGGGCGCUGACGAGUGGCGGACGGGUGAGUAACGCGUAGGAAUCUGCCUCAUAGAGGGGGACAACGUGUGGAAACGCACGCUAAUACCGCAUACGCCCUACGGGGGAAAGCGGGGGACCUUCGGGCCUCGCGCUUUGAGAUGAGCCUGCGUUAGAUUAGCUAGUUGGUAGGGUAAAGGCCUACCAAGGCGACGAUCUAUAGCUGGUCUGAGAGGACGAUCAGCCACACUGGGACUGAGACACGGUCCAGACUCCGACGGGAGGCAGCAGUGGGGAAUUUUGGACAAUGGGCGAAAGCCUGAUCCAGCAAUGCCGCGUGAGUGAAGAAGGCCUUCGGGUUGUAAAGCUCUUUUGUUUGGGAAGAAAUCCUAAAGGCUAAUAUCCUUUGGGGAUGACGGUACCAAAAGAAUAAGCACCGGCUAACUACGUGCCAGCCGCCGCCGUAACAC
rnacentral:rRNA from 1 species